CGCUGAACUUAAGCAUAUCAAUAAGCGGAGG
rnacentral:rRNA from 2 species